GGCCGUAGUCCCAAUGUUUUUACCUCACUUCAGUGUAGCCGGUUUGUUUUUAUUUCAUUUGCAGGAUUGCAAAUGGAUAAACUGCAGGACCUCUUCACUCCAAAGAUUUCUGAGUGGCACUCCUUCAAACGACUUCAUGCAUUUGGUUGUUUGGGGUCUGCAGGCAACAUUCCUCGCAUUCUGCCUUAACCCUGGAUUCCUGACCUCCUUUCACCCUCUGCAGUCUCCUUUCAGAGUGGGUGACACCAUGCUUGAUCCCUGCACACUUCUUACCUUUCU